UACGAAGGGGGCUAGCGUUGUUCGGAUUUACUGGGCGUAAAGCGCACGUAGGCGGAUCGUUAAGUCGGGGGUGAAAUCCUGGAGCUCAACUCCAGAACUGCCUUCGAUACUGGCGAUCUUGAGUCCGGAAGAGGUGAGUGGAACUCCUAGUGUAGAGGUGGAAUUCGUAGAUAUUAGGAAGAACACCAGUGGCGAAGGCGGCCGACUGGUCCGGUUCUGACGCUGAGGCGCGAAAGCGUGGGGAGCAAACAGG
rnacentral:rRNA from 1 species